UACGUAGGGUGCAAGCGUUGUCCGGAAUUAUUGGGCGUAAAGAGCUCGUAGGCGGUUUGUCGCGUCUGCUGUGAAAACUCGGGGCUCAACUCCGAGCUUGCAGUGGGUACGGGGCAGACUAGAGUGCGGUAGGGGAGACUGGAAUUCCUGGUGUAGCGGUGGAAUGCGCAGAUAUCAGGAGGAACACCGGUGGCGAAGGCGGGUCUCUGGGCCGUAACUGACGCUGAGGAGCGAAAGCAUGGGGAGCGAACAGG
rnacentral:rRNA from 1 species